rnacentral:rRNA from 1 species
GAUGAACGCUGGCGGCGUGCCUAAUACAUGCAAGUCGAGCGAACAGACGAGGAGCUUGCUCCUUCGACGUUAGCGGCGGACGGGUGAGUAACACGUAGGUAACCUACCUAUAAGACUGGGAUAACUUCGGGAAACCGGAGCUAAUACCGGAUAAUAUUUCGAACCGCAUGGUUCGAUAGUGAAAGAUGGCUUUGCUAUCACUUAUAGAUGGACCUGCGCCGUAUUAGCUAGUUGGUAAGGUAACGGCUUACCAAGGCAACGAUACGUAGCCGACCUGAGAGGGUGAUCGGCCACACUGGAACGGAGACACGGUCCAGACUCCUACGGGAGGCAGCAGUAGGGAAUCUUCCGCAAAGGGCGAAAGCCUGACGGAGCAACGCCGCGUGAGUGAUGAAGGUCUUCGGAUCGUAAAACUCUGUUAUUAGGGAAGAACAAACGUGUAAGUAACUGUGCACGUCUUGACGGUACCUAAUCAGAAAGCCACGGCUAACUACGUG